AGGCUCUGAGCUGUCAGCACGGGGCCUGACGCCUAAGACUCGAACUCACGAACUGCAAGAUCAUGGCCUGAGCCGAAGUCAGACACUGAACCGACUGAGCCACCCAGGCGCCCCUGACACAUCUUGGUUCUGUUCUUCGUCUCUCUCUUGAGACUUCAGAAACAACUGGAAUUUCCCUGGCCACCUUACAGGACAAAACUUGUCCCAUUAUGAGCAGCCCAUUCCAUCAUCAUCAGCGGGAUCUGGAGAGCGAUCUUGAGGAGGUGAUGUUAUUUUUGCUAAAGUUAGAAAAAGGAAAGAAGCUGAUAGAUUUCAGGACCACGAAAGAAGGAGUAUUGAGCAAGGACAUGUAUCAUGAGCCAUCAAGCUAGAAGGAAGGACGUGCUCUUGGUUUGGUUGUUCACGACGUGCCAUCAAUGAAAUACGAAGCCCUCCAAAUCCCUAAAACCCAGGCACAGUAUGUUAACGGGCCGUAGCAGCACGUAUGGGUGGAGGCGGUGUGUGGACCUCAUCGGCUCUCUCUGUUUUAAACACUGUGUAUGUGUUCAUUGGCCCCAGACCAGUUCUACCACUUAACCUGUCCUUGCCCCACAGCCAUGGUAGUUUUUGCUUGGGACCAUGUGCCCUCUGCUUGUCUGCAGAAUCUUGUAUCCUCUCAGGGAGAGUCGUGUGGUGGGCUGGUGGCGGAAUGAGAGGGAAAUAUGUACACACAGGGCCCAGCUGAAAAUGACUUUAGCACAGAGUUUAUUUAAUACAUCCUCCAAAUUGUAGUUUGAAGCCUCUGUUAACAAGAAAGCACUCUCUUUUUGAGCAGCGGGAGUGUUUUAUAAAUGGAAUUUGCAGACCAGAAAUGCUCCCCAUUAAUUUUCCCUGUCUACAAUUACUAUCAUUACAUUCUUAAAGCACUUUUAAAAUAAACUACGCCAUGAUGUAAUGUGCACACUCUGAGCUCCAGUGAUGGGACAAUGGGGCAGCCGCAUCUGGAGUUUGGACUGCUAUCUUCUAGGGAACAUCUUGAUGGCUAUAAUUACUGUCAUGUUAUGGGAACUGAAAAAAAAAAAGGCGCCAGAGUUCCAAAUAAAACAUAAAAUGGCUUUGAUAUAAUAAAUGUUACUAUCAUUGUUUAAAAAUGUUGUGACCCGUCUGCUGUAGUUUCUGAGAAAGAUAUUUUCCAGCACUUGAUAUUCCGCCCCCCCCUCCUCUCUUUCAUAUUCUAUUACUGCAGAUAAGGAUGAAGAAAAUCCUUAGGACAGACUUGUUUUAAAUCAAUGUAACACAAUGCCAGCAUUGUCUCUCUUCAAGAUGAACUUUUAAGUUAAAUUUGGCAUGAGCUUUACCAGAACUACAAACAACUUUGCUCCAGAGACACUUUAUCCACCCUAUUAGGGAGCAUUAAUAAUUCAAAUGUUAUGGUUGUGGUUAAUUGUGCUCAUUGGGAUAAACCAGGGGUGGGAGCAUUUUUGUAUAGGACAUGCUUGCGUCCAGUGCGUCCCCAGCCAAGGCAUCCAGAACAGUUUAAACUCACUCCAGAGGAGUCGCAAAAUGCACAUGUGGUGUAAAUGUUAUCAUCCCAUGGGAACCAGGUUUGGAAGAACCCGUGAUGAACUUGGACCCAGGUAUUGGACCAAUUUCUGUAUCAAGUGAUGAGGAUCACUUGUAUAUGGGAGAAGUCAUUAUUGUGGGUACUGAUCCAUGGUGACAUUCAUUCAUUUUCUCAAGGAAAUUUUAUUAUAUGAAAUUGAUUUAACUUUGUGGAAUCUAAGUCAUGGUUUCAUAGUGAGUAUCAGCAACUUUAAGGAAGCCAGUGCAUCUGACUUAGGCAACCGAUUAGCUUUGACAAUAGUGUGUACACAAAACCUUAAUGAAGUAAUCUGUUCUGCUGAUCAUUUUUCUUUACGGGUUUGCUGAUAACAUCUUCAGUUUGAGGAUGGACCUUCUGAUGUAAGAGUUGGGACUCAACCAGGAAAAAUUUAUUUGACCUGAUCUGGAUUUCAUCAUGUUCUGUGAGUUUGUAGAGUAAUCUUUCUACAUGUGUCACAUCGAUUGACUGGCUGUCUCUGAGUGUUCUCUUGGGUAGUGACUUCUUUUUAUUUCAUUUGGUAUCAUGUUUCCCCUUUUCUCAAAGAUUUGUCCAUAUGUCCUUGCUGGUUAGCAGUAAGUGAGACCAUAGACAAUGGUUUGGCUUCCAGGUGUAAGUUUUUUCAUCCUCACGCUACCUACUGGGGUGAGUUUCUUCAGCGGUCAGCACUGGCCAGCUCCCUAGACAAAGCAUGGGAGACCAUCUUAGGCCAAACCAGGUGAAGAGUGGCAUUGACCUUGAUAGUCCACCUCAGUUCUGGAAAAAAAACCAAUCCAAGCAGAGACUCUAUUGCUAAUAGAUAAUAGAGCCUUCUUUGGGUACAGACCAGAGGGCAUUGUUAAUGUCUGUGUUUCCAAGUCUGCUGACUAGAUCUUCUAUUCACUAGAUACUUUCCAAGGUCUGUUCUUUCUCAGAAGUGGGACUCACUUAUCAACACUCCACAAUGCCGUGAGGCUAGAGAACAAUUCUAGAUUUGUUUGCAAGGGACGCGAAGCCAAUUGUUGGAGGGCUAUUUGCAUACUACCCUGAAAUCCAAGUCAGGUUUUUGUUUUCCCUUUGUGAUACAGCUUUGAAAAUGCUCGAUUCUUCACUUUGUCUCGGCCCCGUUUUUGGAAAGCGUGAGAGUGACAUCUAAACUCCUUAGCGGAACGUGCAAAGCUUCUCACAGCCCACAUGGGACGAUUGCCAGCAGCUUUUGCAGGUCCUGUUCAUGACUGAGGAAAGAGAAAGAAUCCUCAAUGAGGCCUGAAAACUAGUUCUGGGCACAGAUGGGAAUUCCACCACCAACCAGGCUCAGAUAGAUGCCUCCUUCCCCUUAACUCGGCCCCAGUGGGAUUUCAACAUGGCAGAAGGGUCUGGUACACGGUACUAGAUUUAAAGGACGCCUUCUUCAGUCUGCCGCUGGCACCCCAGAGCCAACCCUUGUUCACCUUCGAGUGGCAUGAUCCAGAGGAGGGCUACAGCGGACAACUCACCUGGACACGACUGCCUCAGGGGUUCAAAAAUUCGCCCACCAUCUUUGACGAGGCACUACAUGAGGACCUGGGUGCUCCACUACAUGACUGUGCGGGGAUCCUGGAGCAAGUACACGGAUUCUGGACAGAUCUGACCGACCGGCCCCUCCCUGAUGCCGAGGCUACUUGGUUCACUGAUGGCAGCAGCUUUGUGCGGGAUGGACACAGACACCUUCUCUGGCUGGGUGGAGGCAUACCCAACCAAGCAUGAAACGGCUCAGACGGUGG